AUUGAACGCUGGCGGAAUGCUUUACACAUGCAAGUCGAACGGCAGCACGGACUUCGGUCUGGUGGCGAGUGGCGAACGGGUGAGUAAUGUAUCGGAACGUAUCCAAUAAUGGGGGAUAACGAGUCGAAAGAUUCGCUAAUACCGCAUACGCCCUACGGGGGAAAGCUGGGGACCUUCGGGCCUGGCGUUAAUGGAGCGGCCGAUAUCUGAUUAGCUAGUUGGUGAGGUAAAGGCUCACCAAGGCGACGAUCAGUAGCUGGUCUGAGAGGACGACCAGCCACACUGGAACUGAGACACGGUCCAGACUCCUACGGGAGGCAGCAGUGGGGAAUUUUGGACAAUGGGCGCAAGCCUGAUCCAGCCAUUCCGCGUGAGUGAAGAAGGCCUUCGGGUUGUAAAGCUCUUUCGCAAGGGAAGAAAACUUAGCCACUAACAUUGGUUGAGGUUGACGGUACCUUGAUAAGAAGCACCGGCUAACUACGUGCCAGCAGCCGCCGUAA
rnacentral:rRNA from 1 species